rnacentral:rRNA from 1 species
UACGUAGGGGGCAAGCGUUGUCCGGAAUCAUUGGGCGUAAAGAGCGUGUAGGCGGUUCGGUAAGUCGGCUGUGAAAGUCCAGGGCUCAACCCUGGGAUGCCGGUGGAUACUGUCGGGCUCGAGUCCGGAAGAGGAGUGUGGAAUUCCUGGUGUAGCGGUGAAAUGCGCAGAUAUCAGGAGGAACACCAAUGGCGAAGGCAGCACUCUGGGACGUGACUGACGCUGAGACGCGAAAGCGUGGGGAGCGAACAGG